rnacentral:rRNA from 1 species
UACGGAGGGUGCGAGCGUUGUCCGGAAUCACUGGGCGUAAAGGGUGCGUAGGCGGUGGGGUAAGUUUGAGGUGAAAGCUCCGGGCUCAACCCGGAAACUGCCUUGAAAACUAUCCGGCUAGAGGGUUGGAGGGGAGACUGGAAUUCUCGGUGUAGCAGUGAAAUGCGUAGAUCUCGAGAGGAACACCAGUGGCGAAGGCGGGUCUCUGGACAACACCUGACGCUGAGGCACGAAAAGCCCAGGGGGAGCAAAACGGGG